UACAGAGGUCUCGAGCGUUAAGCGGAAUCACUGGGCUUAAAGCGUGUGUAGGUGGAUGCCUAAGUACCUUGUGAAAUCCCACAGCUUAACUGUGGAGCUGCUUGGUAUACUGGGUGUCUUGAGUCACUCAGGGGCGAGCGGAACAAAUGGUGGAGCGGUGAAAUGCGUAGAUAUCAUUUGGAACGCCAAUGGUGAAAACAGCUCGCUGGGGGUGUACUGACACUGAGACACGAAAGCCAGGGGAGCGAACGGG
rnacentral:rRNA from 1 species